GUAGCCUUACCUGUCAUGUCAACACGCGUCUGAACCACCUGGGCCAUCGAAUAUCUGAUCUAAAGGAACCAGACAGGAGAAGGAAAUUCGUUGAACAGAUCCGGUCCGGUUCGACCGACACGGAGAUCCUAAACCCAAGAAAUGAACCGGACAGACAUCAGAAACUCUGAAGAACUUUUCUUAAGGUGGAUCUUUGAGACGCUUCCCUCCAAACAAGGAUGUCCAUGGAUAUCUUUUCUGGCUGUUUCAGGAUGGCCUCUAUUUAGUCAGACGGGCUCUGCAUGAGUUUGGACCUACCGAGCACAGGGCAGGAGGCGGGUUUGAAGGCCUCACACUUCAGACACUGUCCGUCCAGGAAGCGGCUAUAUGAGGAGCAGGGGUACCCGGUGAGGUGACAGGUCCGGUUCAGGGCGCACAGGAACAAAAACACAGAUCGCUGGUGGUCGCACACGAAGUAAGAUUUACCUGCAGGAGGAGGAGAUGAACCUGUGCUGAGCAGAGCCUCCCAGAUGGUGAGACCUUAUAAGGAGCUAAGGAUGUUGGACAGGGAUCAUGUCGAGGAGCUCUAUGGGAAGGGAGCAGACCAUGAUCCACAGAUGACAGUGACUGCAGGGAUCUGAAGUGAGAGCCACAGAAGACAGUCCCGAAGUCACCUCCUUUAAAGUAUGAGAUGUCUUCACUACCCCUUCAGCCACCAUCACCUGAAACACACAGAGAGCCUCAGCCUCUAAAGCCAUGCAGCGCUGCCGGAUAGAGAGGAGCUUCAGGUCUUUGAAUAUGGG